AUGUGCUUUUUCGUCCUCCAUUUUGACUGCGUUGGUGGAAUACUCUUGGUUUGGACUUGGAAUAUUUCGAUUUUUCGCUAAAAUGAGUUUCGAUGGCAGUAAAGGACCUCCAAANAUCGAUGGCAUGACUAGUUUGAAAGUCGAUAAUCUUACUUAUCGAACGGGAGUAGACCAAUUAAAGAAGGUAUUUGGAAAAUAUGGUGAUGUNGGAGACAUCUACAUCCCACGAGAUCGCAAACAUCUUCAAUCUCGGGGCUUUGCCUUCGUUCGAUUCUGGGAAAAAAGAGAUGCCGAAGAUGCUAUGGAUCUUCUAGAUAAGAGUAUUCUGGAUGGAAGGGAGAUCAGAGUACAAAUGGCAAGAUAUGGUCGCCCNACCGAGGAUUACAAACCAAGACAACGCAGCAAUUACUCGAGAAGAAGCUAUCGUUCUCGAUCUCGCUCACCAAGAAGAAGAGGUCGCUACUCCCGUUCAAGAUCAAAAUCUCCUCGUCGACGAUAUUCCCGUUCAAGAUCGCCAAAGCGUCGUUCACGUUCGUUCAGCCCUCGUCGAUCGAGAAGCCCAGUAAAGCGAUCCCGCAGCCGGUCGCCACGACGCUCUCGUUCAAGAUCUCCCAUGCGUCGGUCACGAUCCCCAAGACGGUCACCUUCUCGAUCUCCAAGACAUGAACAAAAUGACAAUAGCGGAGCCUACAAUGAGGCUGCUGAUCUUGAAUAACUUCUGUUAGUUUGUUAAUGUUUGCAAUGUAUGGUGUUUUUCUUUCAGGGGAUGCUGUUUUAGCUGACAUGCAGCCCAAGCCAUUGCACCUCCUAACUUUUUCUGAUUAGGCGCAGUAGUUAAAUGCAGUACUGGUCUGAUGACCUGAGCGGGCAGCGACUGUCUACAGUGUAAUACUGUGUUCCAGUGUUGCUGACCAGAGAGUUGGUGUUAUGCAGAGCCACAGACUGUUUCCAAAUUUGCUGAAUUUUGAGUGCUGAAAACGUUGCAGAUUGCAGACCAAUUGGCAGCUGUGUACCAAAUUUUUUUUGCUGAAAAUACAUGAUGUGGUGAACUCGGAGUCUAAGCUGAAAAAAAUAUUGAAAAGCAGUUUCAAUGAAGUCAAGAUUGGUUUNAANCANAACUACAAAUUGUUGUGAAACUGAGNGUGAGAUGUGAAGUGUGACAUAAAAAANCANUGAAACUGGAAGAGUGAAANCUUUGUUUCAAGAGAGUGUUUGUUNUGUAGAAAGAUGUGAAAAAAGGAGUGUAAAAGCAGAUGGAGCAGAAACAAUGAAAUUGUGCUGUGGUUUUGAAGUGAANGUUGUGAGGCUGAUCCUUCUACUGAAGUAAACUAUGCAAGUGCAGUAGUCGUUGAAGCAGUGAGGGAACCUGAGAAAUGAUUAUCAUUGCAUCAUUCUGCAUCUCGAUUAGUCCAGGAAUAACUCCUGUAAAUGCUGGUGAAGCAUUGUUUUGGGAUGCUGUUGAAGAUGGCUGCUAUGUUGAAGAUGGUUACCAUGUCUGUAGUUAAAGAUAUGUGAAUGUCACCCCAUAAAAACGAGUGUGAAGACGGGUUGGAUUGGAAGCACUAAGGGAGAACCACAGUUGUAAAGGUUAAAUGAAAGAGUGGUUCUUGUUAUCAAGUGUUGGUUAUAAACCUAAGUGAAUGAGUUUGUGGUGAUGUUUGAGUAUGGUGGAGGGUUUGGAAAGUAACACUUGCAUCUGGUGAAAGUCGACAAGCUGGAAGUCUAGUUUGUGUGAGCAAAGAUUGGUGAUAAAGAUAAUAGAUGUCGGUAAUAAGAUAUUGCGAAUNCAGGGUGACUUGAAGAAAGUUUGUCUCCUUUGACAAAUCCUGACAAACCUCAUUCUAAGUGCAGCAGGGGACUCGAAUGGUAUCGACGCGUGAUAUGAGUGUGAAUCGAUGUAGCAUAUAAAGUUCCUGGGACUGUCACCAUGUCGCGAAGAGCGAGUGAAAUCUCUCCAAAAUUAGCGAUGCAGAUGAUAGUCAUGCGCUGCAAGCCGGGACGUCUUACUAUUGGUUCAGAAAAUAAUUGUUGAUUCCAAUAAAUGUGUUNAAAUUA
rnacentral:misc_RNA from 1 species